UUUAACUGAGCGUUCAGUUACUUGACGUAGACCCGAAACCGGGCGACCUACCCAUGAGCAGGAUGAAGCGAAAGUAAAAUUUCGUGGAGGUCCGAACCCACGAGCGUUGAAAAGCUCGGGGAUGACUUGUGGGUAGCGGUGAAAUUCCAAUCGAGCCCGGAGAUAGCUGGUUCUCCCCGAAAUAGCUUUAGGGCUAGCCUCAAGGUGAGAGAUACGGAGGUAGAGCACUGAAUGUCCUAGGGGGUAUUGCACCUACCGAAGACUAUCAAACUCCGAAUGCCGUCAUCUUAUACUUGGGAGUCAGACUGUGGGUGAUAAGAUUCAUAGUCGAAAGGGCAACAGCCCAGAUCGUCAGCUAAGGUCCCUAAAUGUAAGUUAAGUGGUAAAGGAUGUGGGAUUGCACAGACAACCAGGAUGUUGGCUUAGAAGCAGCCACUCAUUCAAAGAGUGCGUAAUAGCUCACUGGUCGAGUGAUCCUGCGCCGAAGAUUUCCGGGGCUAAAACUUACUACCGAAGCUACGGCAUCAGUAAUGAUGGGUAGGGGAGCUUCCCAUACGGGGUGAAGCAUGACCGUAAGGACAUGUGGACAGUAUGGGAGUGAGAAUGUUGGCAUGAGUAGCGAGAUGUGGGUGAGAAUCCCACAGGCCGUAAACCCAAGGUUUCCAGGGGAAGGGUCGUCCGCCCUGGGUUAGUCGGGACCUAAGCUGAGGCCGAAAGGCGUAGGGGAUGGACAACAGGUUGAUAUUCCUGUACUACCGAUAACCGUUUGAGAGAAGGGAUGACACAGUAGGUUAAGCUAAGCACACUGUUGGUUAUGUGUGCCCAAGCAUUGAGGCAGUCAAAGUAGGCAAAUCCGCUUUGAUAAUGCUGGGAUGUGAUGGGGAGCGAAAUUUAGUAGCGAAGUAGCUGAUUUCACACUGUCAAGAAAAGUCUCUAUCGAGGUUAAAGGUACCCGUACCGCAAACCGACACAGGUG
rnacentral:rRNA from 1 species